rnacentral:misc_RNA from 1 species
CAACCAUCAAGCCCCGGGCUUGUGUUGGGGACCUGCGGCUGCCGCAGGCCCUGAAAUGCAGUGGCGGGCUCGCUGUCACUCCGAGCGUAGUAAUACAUACAUCUCGCUCUGGACGUGCUGCGGGUUCCGGCCGUUAAAAGCCUUAUUUACCCAA